rnacentral:rRNA from 1 species
UAUGGUUGCCAGCAGCCGCGGUAAUACGUAGGGGGCUAGCGUUAUCCGGAUUUACUGGGCGUAAAGGGUGCGUAGGCGGUCUUUUAAGUCAGGAGUGAAAGGCUACGGCUCAACCGUAGUAAGCUCUUGAAACUGGAGGACUUGAGUGCAGGAGAGGAGAGUGGAAUUCCUAGUGUAGCGGUGAAAUGCGUAGAUAUUAGGAGGAACACCAGUAGCGAAGGCGGCUCUCUGGACUGUAACUGACGCUGAGGCACGAAAGCGUGGGGAGCAAACAGG